rnacentral:miRNA from 1 species
UGAGGCAGGAGAAUUGCUUGAACCCAGGAGGUGGAGGUUACAGUGAGCCGAGAUCGUGCCACUGUACUCCAGCCUGGGCGACAGAUCAAGACUCCAUCUC